UUUGUGACAUAGAGUAUCUAAUGUUAGAGCAGACACAAAGGAAGUAGACCAGGAUAUAGACUGUCAGUAGUGAGAGGAGGAAUACGAGAAUUUGGUACUUCAAUUUUGGAGGACAGAUUGUCAGAGCAAGUACAAUAGAAAGGAGCGUCAGUAGCUGAGAAUACAGAACAAAGGCUGUCAGAGGUGGGUAGGUGGGCCGGCCCUCAGAAGAUAGCUCACAGGACUCUCAGAGUUGAUAGGAUGAGGCCUUAGAACAUAGCACAAGGAGUAUCAGACCCAGAAGGAACAGUAGAACAAGAUGAGUCAGAGCCAGGAGGAAAAGAGAUGAGAACUGAUUAUGAGACCCUUUGGGGGUGGGGGGUUAAUAUUGGAGAAUGGGCUUACAGUAAGUGCAUGUCUGGAGGGGCCCUGGGUUGGGGGAUGAGAAAGGUGCCAAGGACAGGAGCCAAGGAUCUUCCCUAGCAGACACAGGUCAUUGUUAAUGAACUUUGACUGUAAGGUAGCAGAACUGGCCACCCUGUGCUGGGAGAUGGGCUACCUGGUGCCAUUAUUGGACUUUGGGGAUUUACUGUAUGCCCCAUAUUCUUUCCUCCUGUACUUUGGCCUCUAGGUGGUUGGCAGCAUAGAGGUGGAGAAGAUGCCAUGUUCUCUCAGGUAAUUGAAUCCUCCCUUACAGUCCAGCAUCUAGGGUCAGAGAUGUCUUGAACUGGGCAUGUGGCUGUGAGAAGGGCCAGGUUACUGGGUCCCAGAGGCAAAACAAUACAAACUGUGUGAGGCAGGCCUGGGAGCCGAAGUUUCCCAUCCAUUCAUUGAGGCAUAUUGUCUCUAGGAAGGCACAUUAGAAGAUUGACUUACAGGUCCCUGCAGCACGGAACAUCAGAGGCAGGCAGGAAUGCUAAAGAGAACAUUACAUGUGAUGGUAUCUUUUAGUCCUGGAAGGCCAAGACCUGAGGAGAUACUAUAACAGAAAUCAGAGAAAAUUGGAGGUUAGAGGGAGGGAUUCCAGAAUAUGGAAUAUGGACUCAUAAUACAUGCAUGUCUGAAAGAAUGUGUAUACUUGAUUUGAGGGGAGAGGCCAGGGCAGAAACCCCAAGUCUCCCUUGGGAAGCCCGCUGUGCUAGUUGGUGGUUUCAGGCUGUGCAGCAGCAAGAUCAAGUCAAUGCUAUGAGUGGCCAACCUCAGUCUGGUGGCAGGAUUUCUUGAUCCCAUCAUCGGAUUUAGGUUUCCUUCCUUUCUCCUAUUGUUUGACCUCCAGGUGCCCAACUGUGUAGAGGCGAGAAAGAUACCGUGUUGUGUCUUGGUAAAUUUCUCGCCUUUCACAAUUGAGCAUCUAGGACUCUGCUACUGUCCCCCUGCCCCAGGAGACCAUGGGGAACCCAGUCCUGAGCCAACCUGAAACACACGCACACACAGAGACAACUUGCGUCUUGGUAGUUAGAAGCUUUGAGAGUUCACUGCACUAGUACAGAGUGACUAUCUCACAACUUGAAGGCAGGAUUUCUCUGUCCACUGAGGCAGAUGAUUUUUCUGAAAAAGAAUUAGAAGAUAGAUGUUAGACUAUGAAAACACAGUGUCAGAGAGGGGGCACCUUUGUAUACUUCAGAGUGUUAGAUCUAAUAGUCUCUUAGUGUUGAGAUGGAGUAUAAGGAGACCUAAUUACAGAAAUAAGUAACUAUCAGAGUCUGGAAGGAAGGAUUCUAGAACUUGGAAUUGGACUUAUAUUAUGCACCAAUGUCUGAAGGAAACCUAAUGCUAGAUCUGAAUGGGGAGCUCGGGUAAGAGCCACACAUCUUCCUUAGGAGACUUUUAAUACUGGUUAGUGGCUUCAGAUUGUUUACCAGCAACAAUGGGGAUACCCAUAUUACUGACCACCAUCAAUAUGAAGGCGACAUUUCUGGUCCUAUCGUUGAAUUUAGAUUUCUCCCUGUUCUCCAUUUCCUUUAUCCCAUUCUUUGACUUCCAGGUGCCCAAUUGUGUAGAGGCAAGAAAUAUGCUGUAUUCACUCUUGGUAUAUUUCUCGCCUCUACCAAUUGAGCAUCUAGGACUCCGCAUCUGUCCCCUGCAUCAGGAGGGAGUGGGGUCCCCAGAUCUGAGCACACCUAGACCCUGCUCUCCAAUCGUGGGUUUAGUUUCUAUCACAAGGUUAUGUGGUGACUUUGUCUCUCUCUGGAAAGACUUAAAGCUGGGGUUUCCUGUUCACUGAGACUAAUGGGUCUUUCUAAGGGAGCAUUAAAAGAUAGAAUGUCAGACCCAGGAAACAAGUGUCCAAGAGGAGGCCCCUUAGAACACUGUAGAAUGUUAGAUAUAGAGUUCUUUAGUCCUGGAAUGUCACUGUCUGAGGAGAUAUAGUAACAGAGAUCAGAGAAUAUCAGAGUCUAGAGAGAAGGAUGCUAGAACAUGCAACUUGGGCCUUGUAGUGAGUACAUUUCUGAAGGCACCUUGGUGAUGGAUCUGAGUCCGGAGUCUAAGAUAGGUGCCCCAGUUCUUUCUUGGGAAGUCCUUGAUGCUGAUGAGUGGCCUGAGGCUAUGCACUCAGCUCAGCUAGGGGUACUAGCACCAAUAGGUCCCAUCAUUGUACUUAGAAUUUCCCUUUUCCAUGCUCCUGAAUUUGAUCUCUGGGUGCUCGACUGUGUGGAGGUAAGGAACUAUGCCGUUUUCUCUCUCCCGGUAAAUCCUUGCCUCUCACAGUUGAGUGUCUAGGACUCUGCGACCUUCCCCUGACCCAAGAGGGAGGAUAGGAUCCCCAGAGCUGAGCCCACCUCACCCUGCAUGCCACCCUGAGAUUCAUUUUCUAGGCCAAGGUCACAGUGAUUCUCCAUCUGUUUGAGGCAGGUCUCAGAGCCAGGGUUUGACAUCCAUUGAGGCAUAUUGUUUUUCCAAAAGGGCAUUAGAACAUGAAAUGUUAGACCAUGGGAUCACAGAAUGUCGGAUAGGAGGCACUUGCAAACUCUUUAGAAUGUUUGAUUUGACAUGAUCCUUUAGUCUUGGAAUGUCAUUGUCUGAGGAGACAUAAUAAAAGAUCAGAGAAUACCAGAGUCUGGAAGGAGGGAUGCUAGAAUGUGGAGUUUGGACUGAAAGUAAGUACAGAUGUCUGAAGUAACCCUCAGGGCAAGGGGCCACAGGUCUCCUGUAGGCUUGAGACUUUGAUGCUGGUCAAUAGCCUCAAGUUAUUCAACAGUAACACUAAGGCUACCCCAAUCGCCGGCUACCAUUAAGUCUGAAGGCAGGAUUUCUUGUCCCAUCAGUGCACUUAGGAAUUCCCUUCAUCCCUUUCCCUCUCUCCUACUCUUCGACCUCCAGGUGCCCGACUGUGUGGAGGUAAGGAACUACGUCGUGUUCUCUCUUUCGGUAAAUCCUUUCCUCUCACUGUUGGACAUCUCGGAUUCUGCGACUGUCCCCAGACCCUAACCCACCUACCCUCUUCAUGUCACCAAGAGUUAAGUUUCUAGCCCGAGACCAUAUAGUGACUGUGUGUGUCUGAGUCAGGACUUAGAAGGCAGACUUAGAAGGCAGUUUCCUUUCUACUUUAGCAUGCGGUCUUUCUGAAGGAGCAUUAAAAGAGAUGUUAGACUGUGAGAACAUGAGGUGUCAUACAGGAGGCAUCUCUGAUCACCUUAAAAUAUGAGAUUUGAUAGGGUCCUCUAGUACUUGUCAGAGGAGGCAUAACAACAGGUGAGAAGAGAAUAUCAAAGUCUAGAGGGAGGAGUGAUAGAACAUGGAACAUGGAUUUAUAUCAAGUAGGAACCUUGGUGCUAGAUCUGAGUGGAGAUUCCAGGAUACAAGCCACAGGUCUUCCUUGGGAGACCCUUGAUCCUGGUUGACUGUGCAACAGUAAAACUUGGGGCACCACAUCACCAGUCUCUCUGCCUCUGAAAGAAGGAUUUCCAGUCCACCAUCAUCAGACUUAGGUUUUCCUCUCUUCCUCUCUUACCCAUUUUCCUCUCUCCUGUUCUUUGACCUCCAGGUGCCCGACUGUGUGGAGGUAAGGAACUACGUCGUGUUCUAUCUCUCGGUAAAUCCUUGCCUCUCACUGUUGAGCAUUUAGGACUCUGCGACGGUCCCCUGCAUCGGCAGGGAAUGGAGUCCCCAGACCUGAGCCCACCUGUACCCUGCAUGCCACCCCCACCCCCCAGAUCAUGUUUCUAGCCCAAGCUUCUACUUUGAUCCUCUGUCUGAGGCUGGACUUAGAGCUGACAUUUCCUGACAUAUGCCUCCAUUGAAGCAUAUGGCAUUUCCAAAGGAGUAUUAGAAGAUAGAAUGAUAGACUGUAUGAACACAGAGGGUCAGACAGGAGGUACCUUAAAGCUCCUUCAAAUAUUAGAUGCAAAAGGAACCUUUAGUCCUGGAAUGUCGUGGUCUAAGGAGACAUAAUUACAGAGGUUAGAGAAUACCAGAGCCUGGAGGAACAGAUACGGUGAACAGUCUUAUGCUGAGUGUGCGUCUGAAGGAACCCUAGUGCUAGAUCUGAGUGGGGAGUAUGAGGGAGGGACCUGAUGCUGGGUCUAGAAAAAUUCCUAUCACUGUCUACCUUCAGCCCAAAAGCAGGAUUUCCGGUCCACCAUCAUUGGAGUUAGGUUUUCCUUUCUUGCCCGUUUUCCUCUCUCCUGUUCUUUGACAUCCAGGUGCCCGACUGUGUGGAGGUAAGGAACUACGCCGUUUUCUCUCUGCCGGUAAAUCCUUGCCUCUCACUUUUGGGCAUCUAGGACUCUGCAACUGGCCCCUGCAUCAGCGGGGAGUGGAGUCCCCAGACCUGAGCCCACCUAACCCCCUGCAUGUCACCAGGAGUUUAAGUUCUUAGUGCCAGGUCAUGCAGUAAAUAUUCGUCUUGCUGAGGUCCAAGUUUUCCUUUCCAGGGAGACAUUGUUUUUCUGAAGGAGCAUCAGAAAUGAGAAUGUUCAGUUAUAAGGACUCAGAGUGUCAGAUCGGAGACACCUCAGAUCACCUUCGAAUGUUAGGUAAGAUCCUUCAGUGCCCAAAUGUCAUUGUCUGAGGAGACAUAAUAACAGAGAUGAAAGAAUAUCUGAAUCUGGAGGGAAGGGUGAUAGACAAUGGACCUUGGGCUUAUAGUAAGUGCGUGUCUAAGGGGGCCCUGCUGCUAUAUCUGAGCUGGGGGUCCAGGGAAAGGGCCACAGGUCUCCCUUAGGUUCCCUUCUCUCAGGGGAUACUGAUGGGUGUCCUGAUGCUUUGCAACCACACCAGGACUUCCCCAUUCCUGGUCACCCUUGGUCUGAAGUCAGGAUUUCUAGUUCCUUCACUAGACUUGAGUUUCUCCCUGUUAUUCAUUUUGCUUUUUCCUAUCCUUUAACCUCCAGGUGCCCGAUUGUGUAGAGGUAAGAAAUAUGCUGUGUUCUCGCUUGGUAUAUUUCUUGCCUCUACCAAUUGAGCAUCUAGGACUUCGCAGCUGUCCCCUGCAUCAGGAGGGAGUGGGGUCCCCAGGCCUGAGCCAGCAUAUGCUCAGGUUACAGGCCACUCCCAGGUUAAGAUUCUAGGGUAAGGUCACACAAUGCCUGUGCUUCUGUCUGACACAAGCCUAGAAGAACAUUUUCCUAUUGACUGUGAAUAUUGUCUUUUUGAAGAAGCAUUAGAACAUAGACCAUUGAGCGUCAAAGAGGAUGUGCCUUAGAGUGUUGGAUCUGAUAGGGACCUUUAGCGCUGGAACAUCUUUUGAGACAGUCAUAACAGAAAUGAGGGAAUAUCAGUCAGGAAAGAAGCUUACUAGAACAUGGAACUUGGGCUUAUAUCAAGUGCAUGUCUGAAGGAACUCUUGGUGCUGUGUCGGGGGAUUAUACAGGGGCCAUAGGUUUUCCUUAGGAGGCCUUGGAUGCCUUAGGCUGUGAGGCAGCAUGUCAAGGGGUACCUCUAUCUUACUCUGAAGGCAGCAUUUCUUGCCCUAUCUUGGGACAAUGACUUUACUCUUUUCCCCAUUGUCCUCUUUCCUGUUCUUUGAUCUCCAGGUGCCCGACUGUGUAGAGGUAAGAAAUAUGCUGUGUUCUCGCUUGGUAUAUUUCUUGCCUCUACCAAUUGAGCGUCUAGGACUCUACUACUGUCCCCUGCAUCGAGAGAGUAGGGUUCCACACCUGAGCCCAUCUACACAUUGGCAGGUCACCCUUGGUUAGGUGUUUAGCUUCAGACUACAGAGUGGCCAUGUUGACUGUCUGAGGCAGACCUGGAAGCCAGGGUUUCCUAUUCACUGAGGGACUAGUAGAAAAUUGAAUGUUAGACCAUGAGAACACAGACAGCAUCGAAGAGGGUGCACUUUAGAAUGCUGGAUCUCAUGGGGUCCUUUAGUGAUUUCUGUGGAGAAUGUCUGUGGAGACAGUCAGUCAUAACAGUGGUCAGGGAAUAACAGAGUCUGGAGGGAAGGACGAUAUAACAUGGACCUUGGCCUUGUGUAUGGGAAAUAUAAAUGUCUGAAGGAACUUGGGAUGCUAGUGAGUGGCCUGAGGCUCAAUAACAUUAAUGCCAUCACUCUGAAGGUGGCAUUUCUAUUCAAAUCAUUGGACUUAAAGGUUUAUACCUUUUCUUUAAACCUGUUAUUUGACUUCCAGUUGCCCAACUGUGUAGAGGCAGGGAAAUAUGCUGUGUUUUCUCUUUCGGUAAAUCCUUGUUUCUCACAGUUGAGCCUCUUGGACUCAUCCUCUGUGCCCUGGCUAAAAAUGGAGUAAGGUUCUUAGUCAUGAGCCCACCUGUGGCCUGCAUCCCACCCACAAAUCAGGCUUUUAGCUCUAGGUCACACAGUGACAAGAGUGAGGCAGGAUUUGGCAUCACUCCUGUCUUUGUGCCAUAUGGCAUUUCCCAAAGGAGCAUCCAAAGAUAGAAUGUUAGCCCUUGGGAACACAGUGUUGGAGAGGAAGCACCUAUGGGUGUUUGAUCUGAUGGUGCUGCCAUGUCAUUGUUUGAGCAGACAUAACAACAGAUCAGAGAAUGUCAGAGUUUAGAAGGAGAAAUGCUAGACUGCUGAACAUGGGCUCACAGGAAGUAUGUGUCUGUAGGAAACCUGAUGCAUGGUCUGACAGAGAGCACUGGGCAGAGGCCAUAGGUUUUCUCUAGGAUGCCCUGGAUACCAGUCAUUGAACCAGGCUAUCCAACAGCAACACUAGAGGAAACUCUAUCAGUGGACUCCCUCAAUCUGAAGUCUGCAUUUCUGAUCUUAUUGUUGGAUUUAGGUUUCUUCUUUUCCCCUCUUUUUCUUUCUUUGAUCCUUUAACCUCCAGGUUCCCAACUGUGUAGAGAUGGGAAAUAUGCUGUGUUUUCUCUUCUGGUAAAUUUCUUGCCUCUCACAGUUGAGCAUCUAGGACUUUUCUACCAUCCCCUGCCUCAGGAGAGAGGAAGGUCCCCGGACCUGAGUGCACUUACCCUUCAUGCCACCCAGAGGUGACAUGUUUCUAGGGCAAGGGCACACAGUGACUAGUUGUCUGUCUGAGAGAGGACUUAGAGCCAGGCUUUCCCGUGUAUUUGAAGCAUUUUGUCUUUCUGAAGGAGCAUCAGAUCACAGGAUGUUAGUCCUUGGAGCACGGAAUGUCAGACAGGAGGCUCAUUAGACUAUUAGAUCUGAUAGGGUUCUUUAGUGUUGGAAAUAUCAUUGUCUAAGGAGACUUGAUAAUAGAGAUCGAAGAAUAUCAGGGUCUGAAGGAAGGGCUGUGAGAAGAUAGACCUUGGAGAUGGUAUCACCUGUGUAUGGCUGAAGAAACCUCGGUGCUCUGUCUGAGUGGGGAGUGCAGGGCAUGGGUCCCAAGUUUCCUUAGGAGGCCCUCGAUGCUGGUUAGUGGUCUCAGGCUAUGCGGCAGCAAUGCUAAGAGGCACCCCCAUCAACCACUCUGAAGACAGAAUAUCUGCUCAGAUCACUUGGCUUACAUUUUCCCCUAUUCUUGUCUUCCAUUCUUUGCCCUCCAGGUGCUCAUCUGUGUAGAGGUGGGAAAAUAUGCCGUGUUUUCUUUCUAGGUAAAUCCUUACCUCUCGCAGUUGAGUGUCUGGGCCUCUUCUACUGUCCCCUCCAUUAGGAGGGGGUGGGGUUCUCACACCUAAGACAGUCUACAGCUUCCAUGGGGUUAGUUCCCAGUACGGAGUCACACAGCACCUCUAUGUCUGUCUCAGGGAGCACUGGGAGCCAGUUUCUCAGCCAUCGAAGCACACAAAUGUUGUAAAGGAACAUUAGUUAGAAGGUAGACUAUUAAACCAUGAGAACACAAGGUGUACUCAGAAGGCCUUAGAAUGGCAGGGUGGAUGGACUUCUUUAGUGCUACCAUGUCAUUUUCUGAAUAUCUCAAUCUGGAUAGAGGGAUGAUGGCAGGUGAAAUUCUAUUUUGGAGCAAGUGUAUGUCUGAAGGAGCCCUAGUCCUAGAUUUGAGUGGAGAUUCUGGGGCAGGGACCACAGAGCUCCCCUUGGAGUCCCUUAAUGCUAAAUUACCGACUUCAAAUUGUAAAGCAGCAUCACCAGUGUAUUUUGACCACUGGACACUCUCAGGCUGAUGACAGGAUUUCUGGUUCCAUCAUUGGAGUCAGUUUCCCCUGGUUCUUCUUUUCCUUUCUCCUAUUCUAUUUGAUCUCCAGAAGGAAGGACAACGUGUUUCCUCUCUCAUUAACUAUAUUGCCUCUUAUAAUUGAACAUCUAGGACUCUACUACCAUCAGGAGGAAGUGGCUCCUUAGCCCUACACCCUGAAGGACACCCAGAGGUCAAAUUUCCAGCCCAAGAUCACACAUUGCCUACUUUUGUGUACUUGGAUCCAGGGUUGUCUCUCCAUUGUGAAAUAUUGUCUUUCAGAAGGCAUAUGCUGCAGGAACAGAAUGUCAGGUAAGAGAAAUAUUAGAGCAUUUGAUAAUAUUGGAUCCCAUGGGUUCCUUUAGUUCUAGACUAUCAUUGUCUGAAAAGUUAGCCUACUAACCUGGGACUGUGAAAUAGCAGAACUGGACUUCCCCAUCCACUGGCCACCAUCAGAGUGGAAGCAGAAUCUCUGAUUCCAUUACUGUCCUUGGAUCAUCUUUUCCUUCCUCUACUUCUUUAACCACUAGAUACUCCAGUGGCAUAGAAUUAGGGAAGAUACUGUUUUCUUUUGGUUAAUUUCUUGAUUCUUAUCAUUGAGCAUCUAGGAUUCUGCUGCUGUCCUCUGCUGCCAGAGAGGGUAUAAACCCACAGUGAUUGGGUGCUGCUCUGAGGCAGGACUUCAAGCCGGAAUGUCCCAGCCAGAAAAGCAUUAUUAUUUAUCCUUUAUUUCGAAGAGGACCAGUAACAGCAUCAGGUGAUGUUUUGACUUGCAUAUGAAUUGUAUUUAAAUGAGGCAAUAUUGAACAAAGCCUACAGCCUCUCUUUCUCUUCCAGGGUCAUCAAAGACCUGUGGCUGGACAAGAGUCAGGACUACUGGCAGUGACCCAGGAUGCAGUGGAUGGCCUUGGUGUCUUGGAUGUCUGACCAAGCUCUAAGCACUUCACAGUAGCUGCUUCAGCCUCCUUCAUGGCCGUUGGAACAAAUUGUUUUCAUCCAUCCAUACCACUGGGGAGAGUCCUCAAAUACUUGGGGUAGACACCCCCAAUUCACAGUUGGGUUUGUGGCACAUCAGUUACUCUCCACCCGAUUUAACCCAUCUGCUAAGAUGGUUUUACUGGGGUGUGGCUGCUGCAAGUGCUACAGCUUCUUGGAGCCACAGAUGAGACAGGUGGACCCAAAAAUGGUUGAGCAGCCUUGAAAAGGGCUCAGAAAAGCUCCCAUCAAAAAGAGGUGCUAGUCUUCCCCCAGAAUACCCAUACACACCCAAGGGAGCACACAUUCUUUCUAAUGGUAUUUCAAAAGAUAAAAUGUUAGAUUGUGAGAACACAGAGCAUCAAACAGGAGACAUCUGAUAUAUCACCCUCUAAUGUUCAGUUUAAGUCCUUAAGUGCUGGAAUGUCAUUGUCUGAAGAGAUAUCAUAACACCGAAUAGAAAGUAUUAGAAAGGAGAGAGAGAGAGAGAGAGAGAGAGAGAGAGAGAGAGAGAGAGAGAGAGAGAGAGAGAGAGAGAGAGAGAGAGAGAGUUGCUGGAACUUGGAACUUGUGGCUUAUAUGGUAAGUGCAAAUGUGUAAGGGAGCCUUGGUGAUAGGUCUGUGUGGAAAGAGCAGGGCAGGAAUGUCGCAUCUCCCCGAGUCAGUCUGAAGGCAAGAUUACCAGUCUCAUUACUGAACAUAGGGUUCUGUUUUGCCCCUGUAUUUUUCUCCCCUUCUUUGACUUCCAGGUGCCCGACUGUGUAGAGGCGAGAAAUAUGCUGUGUUGUAUCUUGGUAAAUUUCUCGCCUUUCACAAUUGAGCAUCUAGGACUCUGCUGCCAUCCCCUGCCCCAGGAGGGAAUGUGGACCCUAGGCCUGAGCCUAGGUGCACCACAGACACCAGACAUAUACACACACUCUCUCUCUGUCUCUCUCUUUCUCUUUCUCUCUAUCUCUGUCUGUCUCUUUCUCUCUCUGUCUCUCUGUCUCUCUCUGUCUCUCUGUCUCUGUCUCUCUCUGUCUCUCUGUCUGUCUCUCUCUGACUCUCUGUCUCUGUCUCUGUCUGUCUCUGUCUGUCUCUGUCUCUCUCUCUCUCUCUCUCUCUCUCUCUCUCUCUCUCUCUCUCUCUCUCUCUCUCUCUCUCGUUAGUGUUUGAGAGCCAACUGGAUAAUUCAAGAAAUUAAUUAUGUAGCAUAGGGUCACAGGGUGACUCUGUUGGUCUGAGGGACUUGAAGUCAGGGUUUCCCAACAAGGGAGGCAUAUGAUCUUUCUGAAGGAGUAUUACAAGAUGAUUGUCAGACAAGAGGAGCCUUAGAUCACUUUAUAAUAUUCAAUCUGAUAGGACACUCUAAGUGCUAGAAUGUCAUUGGCUAAAGCAACAUAUUAACAUAGAUCAGAGAAUAGUAUAGGUGCAAAGGGAGAAUUAUAGAAUUUAGGCUUAUUUGGUAAGAGCAAAUAUCUGAUGGAAACUUGGUGACAAAUCUGUGUUGAAAGACCAGGGUAGGAACCCUGGGUCUCUCUUAGAAGGCCCUUGGUGCUCAUUAGUGACCUCAGGUUGUACAACAGCAACAUUAGAGAUGGCCCUGCCACUAGCUGUCCUCAGUCCGAAAACAAUAUUGCUGCUCCCCUCUUUAGACACAGGGCUUCACAUUUGCCCCCUUUUUCUUUUUCCCAUUCUUUGAUCUCCAGGUGCCCGACUGUGUAGAGGUGAGAAAGAUACCGUGUUGUGUCUUGGUAAAUUUCUCGCCUUUCACAAUUGAGCAUCUAGGACUCUGCUACUGUCCCCCUGCCCCAGGAGACCAUGGGGAAUCCAGGAUGGGCAUAGGUAUGCCUCACAUGCUAGACACACACACACACACACAUUCAUUCUCUCUCUGUCUCUGUCCUAGCCUUUUUGUCUUUCUGUCUGUGUGUCUUUCUCCCCUCCCUCCUCUGUUUCCUCUCUCUCACACCUUUCUUUGUUAGUGUCUUUGAGUCAACUGGACAAUUUGAGAAGUUCUUUAAGUACUUUAGUGGGUCACACAAUGUUUCUGUGUCAGUUGAGACAGGACUUGAAGCCAAGGGUUCCUAUUCAGAGAGGCACAUGGGCUUCCUGAAGGCUCAUUAGAAGGUAGAACAUUAAAUCAUGAAAACACAGGCGCCUUAGAUCACUUUAAAAUAUUUGAUUUGAUAUAGGGUCCUCUAGGUGCUAGCAUGUCAUCGUUUGAAGCAACAUAGUAACAUAGACCAGAGAAUAUUAUCAGAGGUGAAAAGAAGGGAUACUAGAACUUGGACUUAUAUAUGGUAAGUGCAAAUGUCUGAGGGAACCUUGGUGAUAGAUCUGUGUGGAAAGACCAGGGCGAGAGCCCCAGGAUGCUCAUUAGAGCCUCAGGUUAUGCAACAACAAUACUAGGGGUGGCCCUCUGUGAAGGCAGGAUGAUUGCUCCCCUCUUUGGACACAGGGCUUCACCUUUGCUCCUUUUAUCUUUCUCCCCUUCUUUGACUUCCAGGUGCCCAACUGUGUAGAGGCGAGAAAUAUGCUGUGUUGUAUCUUGGUAAAUUUCUCGCCUUUCACAAUUGAGCAUCUAGGACUCUGCUGCCAUCCCCUGCCCCAGGAGGGAAUGUGGACCCCAGGUGGGCAUAGGUACACCUCACACACCAGAUGCACAUGUAGACAUUCUCUCUUCCUCCCUCCCAUCCCUCUCUUCCUUCCUCGUUAGUAUCUUUGAGAGUUAAGUAGGCCUUUUGAGAAGUUCUUUAAGUAGCAUAGGGUCCCACAGUGUCUUUGUGGCAGUCCAAGAAAGGACUCUAAGUUCAAACUUCCUGUCCAGAGGCACAGGAUCUUUCUAAAGGAUCAUUAGAAGAUGAAAUGUUAGACCGUAAGAUCACAGUGUCAGACGAGAGGUGCCUUAGAUCAUUGCUCCCCUCAUUAGACAUGGUGUUCUUUCUACCUUUGUCCUCUUUCGUUUUCCCCUUCUUUGACCUCCAGGUGCCCGACUGUGUAGAGGCGAGAAAUAUGCCGUGUUGUGUCUUGGUAAAUUUCUCGCCUUUCACAAUUGAGCAUCUAGGACUGCUGCUACUGUCCCCCUGCCCCAAGAAGGAUGAGGGCCCCUAGGUCUGUGUCUAGCUGUUCCCUGAAUAUGUAUAGACGCCAUGCCCAUCGGUUGUGAAUGAUUGUGAGAGGUAACUGACCUCUCUGAAAAGUCCAAUGCCAAGUCACACAGUGACCCUGGCUGUGUGAUACAAGACUCAGAGCCUGGGUUUCCUAUGCCCUGAGGCAUAUGCAUUUCUGAGGGAGCAUCGUUGAAUACCUUAAAAUAGUAAGUCUCAUAGUGUUCUUUAUGCUUGGGAUGCUCUUGUCUGUGGAGACAUAAUAACAAAGGUGAGAAUUAUUAGAAGUCUGCAGGAGGGAUGCUGCAACUUGAAACCUUGGCAAAUGGCUAAAGGAACCUUUGUGCUAGUUAUAUGUGGAGAAUCCCAGGGCAGGAACCUCUAGUCUUCCUUAGAAGACCUUGAUGCUGGGUCAGGGCCUGAGGCUACGUAGCAACAAAUGUAGGAUGCCCUUAUCACUGGCCUCCUCACUGGACAUUAGUUUCUCUCCUUUCAUUUGUCCUGUUCUUUGAUGGCCAGGUGCCCAACUGUGUAGAGCCAAGAAAUACGUCGUGUUUUCUCUCUCUCGGUAAAUUUCUUGCCUCUCUCAUUUGAGCAUCUAGGACUGUGCAUCUGUCCCCUAUACCGGGAGGGAGGUGGGAGCCCCAGAUCUGAGCCCAUCUACCCCCUGCAUGCCUCCAAGAACCUUAGUUUCUAGUACAGGGCUCCAUGGUGACUCUGUGUCUGUCUGAAAAAGGCUUCUGUAGCCAAGUUUCCUAUCUACUGAGGCAUACGAUGUCCCUGAGGGAGCAUUAGAACAUCAGCUUAGACCAUGAGAACACAAAGAGUCAAAGUGGAGGCAUUUUGUGGUUUCUUCUCCAUUUUGAAAGAGGACCAAUGACGUCACAAAGUGAUGUCUUGACUUGCUUUUGUGAAUUGAAUUUAAGCAAGCUGAAGUUGCACAAAGUCAUCAGCCUCACUCUCUUCCAGAGUCAUCAAAGUCUGGUGGCAAGACAAAAGUCAGGAUGACAGUUGAUGGCCCAGGAUGCACUGGAUGGACCUUGGCAUCUUCGAUCUCUGAUCAAACUCCAAACACUCCAUAGUAUCUGCUUUUACCAUCUUCACAGCUGUUGGAACAGAUCAUUCUCAUCUGCCCCUUCCACCAGGGGAAUUCUUCUCAUACUUAGGGUAGACAUCCCUCUAACUCCCUGAUGGGCUGGAGGCCUGUUGGUUAUCCUCAACCUAGUUUAGCCCAUCUUCCAAGACAUUUUUCCUGGGGUGUGGCCACUGCCAUGCUACAGCUUCUUGGAGCCACAGGUGAGAGUUGGGUGACAAGAGGACCUCAAAGGUGUAUGAGAAGCCCUGAAAAGGGCUCAACAAGCCUUCACACCAGAAGUGCUGGUCCCCAGUACACUCUAGUGGCACCUUAGAAUACCAUAGAAUGUUAGAUUUAAUUGGGGUCUUUAGUCAUUUGAACGUCUUUAUCUAAGAAAACAUAAUUACAAAGGUCAGAAAAUGAGGGUCUGGAGGGAGAGUUGCUGGAACGUGGAAUUUGGACUGGGAAAAAGUCCAAAUGUCUGAAUCCCUAGAUCACUGACCACUGUCGAUUUGGAGACAGCAUUUCCAGACCCAUCACUAAAUUCAGCCUUUCUGGUCUUCUUCAUUUUCCUUUGGCCUCUAGGUACCUGACUAUAACAGCAGAAAAGAUGCUAUGUUGCAUCUGGGUAAAUUUCUCACUAUUCAUAGUUGAAUAUCUAGGACUCUGCUGCUGUCUCCUACCCAGGAGAGAGUGAGAGUCUUAGGGGUAAGUCUAAGUACGCCAGAUUUCACACACAUGCACACGUACAUACAUGCAUACACACAUCCAUUUUUGAAUGGAAAGAAAAACAUAUGCACAUGUGCCUGCAUACAUGCCCUCUGACCUUCCCUCAUUAUUUUGAAUAUUGUCUGUACCAUUUGAGAAGUUGAGAUACAAGUAUACAGUAGGCCUGUGCCUGUCUGCCAGGUUUUCCUAUUCAAGGAAGCAUAAGGCCUUUCUUACUGAGCACUAAAAGUUAUCACUUUAAACCAUGAGAACCCAAUGUCAGAUGGGGGCACUUCAGAUUGCAUUAGAGCAUCAGAUCUGAUAGGAUCUGUCAGUCUGAGGAGAUGUAAUAACAGAGAUCAGAGGACAGAGAGGGAUGCUAGAAUGUGCGACUUGAGCCUACAAGUUUAGUAAGUACUUUUCUGAUGGAACUGGUGCUGGAUCUGAGUCUGGAGUCUUAGACGGGUGCCACAGUUCUUCAGGAAACCCCGGGUAAGUGGCCUGAUGCUAUACACCAACACAACUAUGGGUACCACCCAUCACUUAGCCACCCUCACUCUGAAGGCAGGAUUUUUCAUCCCAUCAUUGAGCUUAGGAUUUCCUUUCUCCCUUUUCCAUGUUCCUGUUCUUUGAUCUCCAGGUGCCCGACUGUGUGGAGGCAAGGAACUAUGCCGUUUUGUCUCUCUCGGUAAAUCCUUGCGUCUCACAGUUGAGUGUCUAGGACUUUGCGACUGUCCCCUGCCCCAAAAGGGAGGAUAGGGUCCAUAGAGCUGAGCCCACCCCACCCUGCAUGCCAGCAAGCAUUAAGAUUGGUGACAUAGUGACUUUUUUGACCCCUUAUCUUCCACUUUAGAAGCAAUACUGUGUAUUGGUUCUAAGGCAGAAGAGUGAUAAGGAGUAGGCAAUGGGGGUUAAGUGACUUGCCCAGGGUCACACAGCUAGGAAGUGAGUAUAGGAGGGAUAGUUGAACACGCAACCUGAGUAGAGUAAUGUGUGAAGGAUCCAUGGUGUGAGAUCUGAGCAGCAUGUCCCUGGGAGAGGUGGCUCCUGGGUCUUCCUUUGGAGCUCCUUAGUGCUAAUUAAUAGCCUCAGGUUGUGAAACAGCCAUGCUGCAGUUGCUUAAUCCCAUUGCUGGCCACUGGCAGUCUAGAAGCUGGAUUUCUGGUCUGGGUCUGUUGUUGGCCUUUGCUUUCUUCCUGUUCUUUGACCUCCAGGUACUUGACUGUGUAGAGGCGUGAAAGGUGCUGUGUUCUCUCUCAGCAAAUUUCUUGCCUUUUGCAGCUGAGCAUCUAGGCCUCUACUACUGUUGGGAGGGGAUGGCGACCCUAGGUAUUAGCCUAGACACAUUGCAUGUGCACAUACACCCUCACACAUACAUGUGUACUCAUCUGUUCACAUAGCCCAUGACUUUUCUUUAUGAGAAACUGAGAAUUGGCUAGGACAUUUGAGAAGUUACUUAGCUAACAGUCACAUAGUGAUUCUUUAUCUGAGGCAGGACUUAAAGCAAGCAUUUCCUAUUUACUGAGGCAGGCAUACCGUUUUUCUAAAGGAGCAUUUGAAGAUAGAACAUUAGACCCUGAGAACACAGUGUCCCACAGAAGACACCUAUGAACACUUUAAGAUGUUUGAUCUUCUAGAGGCCUUUCAUCCUGAAAUAUCACAGGAUAAGAGGUGGAACCCCCUCCAGUUCAUAUUAAGGGCAUGUGUGACACACCCAUGUGGGCCAGAGGAGGCCUUUGAUGCUAGUCAGUGGCCUCAACUGGAUAACAGUCACACUAGAGGUGAACCUCAUCACUGGCCAUGCUCAUUCUGAAAGCAGCAUAUCCAGUCCUAUCAUCAUCAGAGUUCUUUCCCCCUGAUCCCACUCUUCAUUUGUCCUGUUCUUUGACCUCCAGAUGCCCGACUGUGUAGAAGCAGGAAAAUAUGCCGUGUUUUAUCUUGGUAAAUCCUUGCUUCUCACCGUUGAGUGUCUAGGACUCUGCGACUGUCCCCUUGGUUAGGGGGGGGGGGGAGUGGGGUCCUCAGUCCCAUGCCCUAAAGGACACCAGGAGGUUAAGUUUCGAAGGCAGCGUCACACAGUGACCAUGUCUGUGAGGCAGCAACUUGGAGCCAGGGUUUCCCAUCCCUGAGGCUUACUUAAUGUCUCUCAACAUGGGCAUUAGAACGUAGCAUGUUUGUUAAUCCUUAGAACACAGAAUGGCCACACUGGAGGGAACUUAGAGCACAGAAUGGUACAGAGUAGUAAAGCUGGAAGUUUCCUCCAUUCUUAAAAUAGUAGCAUCUUGAAAUGUUGUACAAGAAUUUCAGAGUCUGGAGGGACACAGUUUCUAGAACAUGGAAUUACGUGCAAGUAUGUGUGUGUCAAGCCCAGAGAUCUUCCUUGGUGCUUCUUAGUGGCCUUCAGCUGUGAAGAAUCAUGACUAGGGUCACUGCACCCCUGGCCAACAUAUGUCUGCAGAGUUAGCCUUGCCCUUUCUUUUCCUUCCUGGGACAUUAUGUCCUCCGGGUGCCCGGCAGUGUAGAGAAUGGUGAGUAUGCUGUUCUCUAUCAGGUAAUUCACCCUUCUCUCACUAUCUGGCAUCUAGGGUUCUACUACACCAGCCUGAGAAGGGCACGGAAACCCUAAGCCAUAGCACAUCUGUAUGUCAUACACAUCCCUUGUGCCCUGGCUAUAAGUAACAGUUGUAAAAAGUGUCUUGGACCAUGGAGAUGAUCAAAGUGGCUUUCCCAUUCACUGUUACUAUGUAGCCAAUAGGACUCCAAGCAAGAUCCAGCUGACUCCAAGUUUGGAUCUCAAGGCAUUAGGCUUGAGAAUAGAACUUGGAACAGAAAUUACCAGAGUGAGAAAGAGCCCAACAACGGAGGAUCACCAGGAAAGAAGAUCUCCGAACAAGGAACGAUUGACCUAAAAGGGUAACAGAUGUAAAAAGACAUAGCCUGAAAGAACAUUGGAACUUGGAGUUCCAUGUGUCAUCCCCAGGUGGCACUGUUUCAUUUCAGCUGUCAGAGAUUGGCAAGUUGACCCUGGUACAUUCAAUACUAGCAGAAGCAGUCUCUGGAACUUAGGGAGCCUGGGGGUUUCAGAGGCAAGCGGGCCAAGAGUAGAAAACGUCAGAGAUCAUCUAGAGAACUUUCAAACAUAGGUUAAAGAUGACCUGUGCCAAAAGGAAAGUAGCAACAGCAGAAUGGAAUAGAGAAUAUGCAAGCCAGAGUGACAAGGUAAAGAGAGAGGGAACCAGUACAGAAGAGUCAAUGGGCCCAGGUCAGAAUGGCCCUUGGAAUAGAGAACACAGUUUCAGAGCCCACCUGAAUGAAUUUGAAUUCUCAAUCCUAAGGGUCUGGGAUGCAUGGGGGGGGGGACUUAGAGUAUGCUGUAGGGAUUUUCAGAACCCAAACAGUAGAAAUGUGGCCCAGCUGAGAAGGUAGGCCUUUAGAGUACAGAACACAGUUGUUUAGAGAUGGGAAAGAAGGAACUUAGACCAUGGGACACAGUGUUAGAAGCGGGACAGAGAUCCUCGAACCCGAAGCCUGGGCUUGGUGUAAGUAAGUGCAUGUCUGAAAUAAUCCUGGAGGUGUAUCUAAGAGGGGAGCCAGGGUGGGAGAGAGACUAACAGGAAGAUUGGAGGGCUCUCCUCUGGGUGUGCCAAAUCUUCCUCAGUGGCCUCAGGUCCUUUAGCAAUAUUACUAAUGCUCGAUCAGACUCCCCAUCCCACCACACUCCAUGGCUGGCCGAUCCUACAACUUAGAUUUCCCCACUAGGGGUUAUCCCCCUCUUUCCUUCCUCUUGCUCUUUCUCCUCUAUGUGUUCGGCAUUGUUGGGUGGCAAGGAGACAAUGGGAGCAGGGUGAAGCUUCUGUAACAGGUGGGUAGGUAGCUUUCUUGUCUCUCACUGUCGAGCAUCUAGGCCUCCACUACUAGACAGUCUGAGGAAGGACCCUGGACCCAAGACACUGAGCCUCAGCACAUCUUGGCCCUGCACACUGCCCCAAUGACCCUUGGCUGGAAGUUGGCUUUUUUGACUUGCCCAGAACACUGACACGUAAGUGCCUUGUCCCUCUCACCUAGUUAGCAUUCCUGCCUCAUUCCUGGCCUAGGGUACCUGCUUUCUUAACUGACUUUUUCAUCUCUCACUGUUGAGCCUCCAGAACUCUGUUCCUGGCCCCAGCCUGAGGAGGAAGAUGGGCCCUGGGCCUGAGUACUACACAUGGACAGUGCACGGUGCCCCUGACCCCUGGCUUUAAGUCAGGCAGCUUGAACGUUGUGCCUAGACCCAACCUGAAGAGUGAUCAGAGUCCCUGGAACUCAGCAUGGCUGGCCACUGCACAUCAACCUUGCCAUUCUAGGUACCCUGCUGUAUGGAGGGGGCCAAGGUUACUAGGUAACCCUCCCUACUCUCACAGUGGAACAUCUCAGACUUUUCUGCUGGCCCCAGCCCAAGGAGGAACUCAACCUUCAUCCAGAAGUCCUGAAGAGAUGCCAGAGUCAGAAGCAGUGGCACAUCCCAAUUCCUCUCCUAUGACUGUUCCAACAAAGAUCAGAUCUCUAAUAAGGGGUGAGUCUAGAAGCAAUCUCCUGGAAUGCCAAUUGGCACAAAUCUGCAGUUCCAUCUACCAGAAGAAAACCUGGGUCAGGACUUCCAAAGCACAGACCAGAAGGCUGUAAUCAGACUCUGCCUUAGACCCUAUUGCUUCAGGGCUUGUUGAAAGUUUAGGCGUUCCUAGCCUGAGAUCUUUGAAGAAUGUACUGCUCCCUACCUAGAGAAAGUAACAGCUGGAGCCCAAAGAAUAAAGAUAGAACCCUCCAAGGCACCACUAUUCCUUCUGGAAGUCCACAGAGCCUGGCCCAAUAUUACAUCCUAAUUUGAGAAGGAAAGUUGGAAGAAAGAGUAACAACAAGACACCCACAGUGAAGAGGUGUUUGGAAGUCAAGGAAAUCCAGAAUACAGAACUAGAAGAAAAGAAUAACUCCAAGAGGCUACAAGCAAAGGGACAGGGAAGUCAAAAAGUCAUAAAAAUUAAAGGAAAAGAACAGUAAGCUGUUUUCUUCAGGAAGGAGAACAGUAAAAUAUUAGCUGAUUUGAUUUCUUUUAAAAGAAGAAGAAGAGGUGACCAGUUUCCAGGAUGAAAACGAAAGACUCAAAAGAAAUGAGGAAAUAAAGGAAAUGACUAUUUACCCAAGUGUGCUCAUAAAACCAACUAUUAAAUGAAUUGGAAACUUGAAAAAUAUGAAAUUCCUAGAUUAGUGCAAUAAGAAAAGUAGAGAAUUUCAAUAAACCAAUAUGAGAAAAAAUAAUUGAAUAGAUCAUUAAUUCCCAAAGGAAUUCCCACAGGCCCACAUGCAUUUAUGGACCAGUAAAAGAAAACCUUAUCUAAUAUUACAUGAACUGUUUGCAUUGACAGAAACAGAAGGUAUGCAAGCAAAUUCCAUCCAUGAUAGAAAGGAGACCAUGACCAAAAAAGAUGUGAAUCGAUUCUUUAAUGAACAUUGAUCCAAAAUGUUUAAAUAAAAUUAGCAAAGAGGCUGUAGCAACAUAUCAAAAAGAUUCUAUUUUAUGACCUGGUUGGAUUUAUAUCAGGAAUAUAGAUUUGGCUCAAUAUUGAAAAGAUAAUGGAUAUAAUAGGCCAUACUAGACUACCAAGAAUCAUGUCAUGUCAAUAGAUGCAGAAUACAGUGCCUCAUUUCCCUAAAUUAUUGUCUCAGUUUGAGAGUUUACUUGUGCCACCAAGAAAUUGCCACUUCCCAUGAUCAUAGCGAGCUCCAAAGGCUGGACUUAAAGACAUAUCUUCAGGGAUCCAAGGCCACUUCUCUAUGCUGUGGCACCACACAUGAGAAAUGUUAGAGUAUAGAAUGUCAAGGUUGGAAGUACCAGCUGAAUGUAGAUUCUCAGAACUAAUAGCAACCUAAAGUCAGAAAUAGAAGGCCUUCAGAUAAAGAACGUGAGAGUCUGCAAAUAUAACAAUGCAGAAUAUAGUAUCAUUAUUUGGAAAGCUCGAUAGAGCUUAAAGGAAGAAUAGAGCACAGCUUGUGGCAGGUGAGUGUGAGGAACCUUAAAAUCAUAAAAUAGAAUCAGAGUUCUUAAAGUUGGAUGUUAGCACAGACAGCAUAGAUUGCAGAAGCCAAAGAACUUGGAAUGUUUAACUGAAAGUAUCACAGGGACCUUAGAACACGUGGUAGUCAGAGGGAUCUUAGAACAUAGGACACAGUGUCAGGGACUAGAGGAGAGACUUGGGAAUCUAGAAUUCUGAGGGUCUAAGCUAAACAGUAGAAAACUUUGAGUGUACAACACAUCAGAAGCAGAAGAAUAGAAAUGUGUUUCAGAGCUGAGAAUGUCUGCUAUAGAACAGGGUAGAGAGGGUAUUGGAGGCAAUUGGGUUGGGCUUCAGAAGAUAACACAAAGAGUGGCAGAUCUGGGGAGGGGGGAACAACUGGAACACGACACCUGAGUAUUUGAGUCAGGAGGGAAGGAUAUUUCAGCAUGGAACUCGGUAUCAGAUUCCGGAGGGAAUGACCCCCAAACUUGGAGCUUGGACUUAUAGCAGGUAUGUGCCUGAAGAAAUCCUAGGGCCAGGGUUGGAGUGGGCAACCUGGCGCUCCCUCGGAGGCCUAUCUUGUCAUUAGGGGCCUCGGGUCAUACGGUGGGAUUUGUAUAGGCUGUCCACCACCAGCAGCAGCUCUGAAUGUAGGAUGUCCUGUCUCAGCCUCAGGUUUCCCUCUUUCUCUCACUUCUUGAAUUUUGGUCUUUGUCUCCCAGGUGCCUGGCAAUACAGAGUGAGGGAACAUGUUAUAGUCUGGUCAUUUUCCCAACUCUUAAGAGUUGGGUAUCCAGAACUAUGCUACUGUCCCACCACCCAAAGGGGACACCAGGUUUGAGAUGUCUGAACCCCGAUCACCACACGUACAAUUAGACUGUUAAAAGCACUGAGAUUUGCCACGGCCUCUAAGAGUUUCAGUGACCAGGCAGAAGUUAAAGCCGGCUUUUCUUGCUUGGUUGCCUGUAUCCCAAUUCACCAACAGAUUCUCAAAAAAAAUAUUAGACCAGAAUAGCAUGUCCAGAAGAACUGUUAAAACAGUAUCGGAGAGAGGGGAGAUGGAGUAGAAACAUGAAGACAGCUCUAAGGACCCAUUAUGUUUGGGAUAGUAGAGGCUCACAGAACUUGGCCAUACAGUAAAUGCAUGUUUGAAGAAACGCUAUAGUCUAAUCUAAGUGGGGAAGCUUGUUCAGGCAUCAGGGAUCUUGUGUAAAUGCAGAGAGCAUUUAAUAAUUGCUUACUGCGCUCAGAACUGUGCUAAGAUACAAAGCAAGGUGGCGUCUGCUCUCGAGGAGCAUAUAUUUGAAUAGGGGAAGAUGACACAGAUGGAAGGUUUCAGCUACAAAUUAGAUGACGAAGUCUCUUGAUCCUUAGUAUACGGCGAUGAAGCACAUGUUAAUGCUUCAUUAAUGUCAUGCCCACUGAUAUAUGAGUUUCUAAUAUUGAACUAUUUGGUAGUGCCAAGGCUUUUGGCGACAAGAACUUUCCUCUCUGGGUCCUCAGUAGCUGUGGCAGCAGGACCCAUGGCCAGGCCACCUUUCCCCAGGUGCUGCUUCCUGGAUGGUAGCUGAUGGCACUGCACUGGAAGUAUGGCUAUCCCAAGGCUCUUUAGCUCUGGCCUUGAGCUCAAACCAAGGGGUCUGAGAGGAGAUGGUAGUCAGAGUGGCAAUAGGUAGUCUAACUUGCCUGGCACAUGCUGCCUCCCAUUUCUCCCUCCAAGGGUCCUUCCUACUUCAGCCAGGUUGGUUUGCCUGCUCUGUCUGGCAGCUGGUGGGGAAUCUGCUUCCACAGAUGACACUGUCAAGGUCUAGGCAGAAGUAGGAAUGAUGGUCUUGGAGGUGGUGCUAUUCCCAGGGCACCUACAUUUAUCUGCUUAUCAGUGGCAAAGGGUCAGCAGUUGUUGGUGCUGGUGAUAAAAAGAGUGGGCCCCUGCUCCAUAAGAAAUUCUUCCUUCAAUAAUGGCUGUAGGGGCCAGGUUGGAAACAGUUCUGGUGGUUUGAGGGUACUGGUAUUCCCAGAGCUCUUCAACACAUGGUACUAGGCUGUCUCCAUCAGGUUAUGAGGGGAGAUGGCCAAGGUGGUAAUGGCGGGGUUGCUGGUGGUGGUUUGAUUUACCUGGAACUUGUUGCCUCUUGUCUUUAGAGUGCUUUGCCCCCUGUUUAGAGAGAAGAUUUCCUGUCUCACCACUUGAUUUGUUUUCAGCCUGAAAUCCCUUGGUCUCCUCCAGGUGCCCCACUGUGUAGAGGGGAGUGAGGGUACCACGCACUAUCGGGUAACCUUUUCUACUCUCACAGUGGAGCAUCUUGGACUCCUCUCCUGGAUCCAGCCUGAGGAAGGACUCUGAGCUCGAGCUCCCUUGGACACUGUAGCCAGCACCCCCAGGCCACAUUGUUGUAAGUUACCAUCUUUGAGAGUUACCUGGGGCCACUGAAGAGGCUGAGUGAUUCCUGUGGUUCACACAGUAUGUGUCAAGUGACCCCAGCUAGUGGGAGCUCAAGGCCAAGUGUCCCUCUGCUGUGCUGUGUGGUGCCUUAAACAAGGGCCUCUGAAAUGUAGAAUGUCUGAGGUGGAAGGGCCUUGGAAUCCUGAGCACCCUGGGCAGAAGGAGCCUAGCACAUUGAAUGUCACAUCCGGUAAGGCCUUGGAGUAAAGAAGGGAGACUCUGAGGGCAUGUGAGAAGACAGACUAGAGACUUGGUGCAUGAAGAGCAGGUCAGUGCUGGGA